CCCUAGGGGGGCAGCAGUGGGGAAUAUUGGGCAAUGGGCGCAAGCCUGACCCAGCAACGCCGCGUGAAGGAAGAAGGCUUUCGGGUUGUAAACUUCUUUUCUCGGGGACGAAGCAAGUGACGGUACCUGAGGAAUAAGCCACGGCUAACUACGUGCCAGCAGCCGCGGUAAUACGUAGGUGGCAAGCGUUAUCCGGAUUACUGGGUGUAAAGGGCGUGUAGGCGGGGACGCAAGUCAGAUGUGAAAACCAUGGGCUCAACCUGUGGCCUGCAUUUGAAACUGUGUUUCUUGAGUACUGGAGAGGG
rnacentral:rRNA from 1 species